rnacentral:rRNA from 1 species
UACAGAGGGGGCAAGCGUUGUUCGGAAUUACUGGGCGUAAAGGGCGCGUAGGCGGCCUGUUAAGUCGAACGUGAAAUCCCCGGGCUCAACCCGGGAACUGCGUCCGAUACUGGCAGGCUUGAAUCCGGGAGAGGGAUGUGGAAUUCCAGGUGUAGCGGUGAAAUGCGUAGAUAUCUGGAGGAACACCGGUGGCGAAGGCGGCAUCCUGGACCGGUAUUGACGCUGAGGCGCGAAAGCUAGGGUAGCAAACGGG